ACCAAACAGCUAGCUUACCACCAAAACUAACUAAACAAUAUAAAUAAAAAUUAUUAACCACACACAUUAAACUAAACCAUUUUCCCACUUUAGUACGGGAGACGGAAAAAGAUAAACACCUAAGCAAUAGAGAAAGUACCGCAAGGGAAAGCUGAAAAAGCAAUGAAACAAGUCAUAUAUAGUAGAAUAAAGCAGAGACUAAACCUCGUACCUUUUGCAUCAUGAUUUAGCAAGCACUAAACAAGCAAAGAGACACUUUAGUUUGAAACCCCGAAACCAAGCGAGCUACCCCGGGACAGCCUUCAAGGGCAAACCCGUCUCUGUGGCAAAAGAGUGGGAAGAGCCCCGGGUAGAGGUGACAAACCUACCGAGCUUGGUGAUAGCUGGUUGCCUAAGAAAUGAAUAGAAGUUCAGCCUCGUCCCCCUUCCAUCGAAAAAGUAACACCUCACAUAGAAUGAAAGAAAGACACGAGAGUUAGUUAAAGGGGGUACAGCCCCUUUAAUACAAGACACAACUUUACAAGGAGGGUAUGGAUUAUAAUUAUCAAAAUCUGCCGUUUCAGUGGGCCUAAAAGCAGCCAUCUGACCAGAAAGCGUUAAAGCUCAAACGACAUAAAAUUUAUUAUUUCAAUAAAAACUCCAAACCCCCUAAAACUAUUAGGCCACCCCAUGCCAACAUGGAAGAGAUUAUGCUAAAAUGAGUAACAAGAGAGAACACCUCUCUCCUAGCACAAGUGUAAACCAGAUCGGACACACCACUGGUAAUUAACGAACCCAAACAAAGAGGGCAACGUGAACCACCAAAUAAACAAGAAAAACUCACGACCUAAAAUCGUUAAACCCACACUGGAGUGCAUCACCCAGGAAAGAUUAAAAGAGUAAGGGAAGGAACUCGGCAAACCCAAGCCUCGCCUGUUUACCAAAAACAUCGCCUCCUGCAAACCCCAAAGUAUAGGAGGUCCAGCCUGCCCAGUGACCACAAGUUCAACGGCCGCGGUAUUUUGACCGUGCAAAGGUAGCGCAAUCACUUGUCUUUUAAAUGAAGACCUGUAUGAAUGGCUAAACGAGGGCUUAACUGUCUCCCCCCUCAAAUCAGUGAAAUUGAUCUGCCCGUGCAGAAGCGGGCAUAAAGCUACAAGACGAGAAGACCCUUUGGAGCUUAAGGUACAAACCCCAACCGUGUCAAACAACUUGCCAAACAAGCUAUCAGCUUAGCGGAACGAUGGGGCUUUACCUUCGGUUGGGGCGACCACGGAGAAAAAUCCAUCCUCCGAGCGGACUGAGACAGUUCACUUAAAACCAAGAAAGACAUUUCCAAGUCACAGAAAUUCUGACCGACAAUGAUCCGGCCCUCGGGCCGAUCAACGAACCAAGUUACCCUAGGGAUAACAGCGCAAUCCUCUCCCAGAGUCCAUAUCGACGAGGGGGUUUACGACCUCGAUGUUGGAUCAGGACAUCCUAAUGGUGCAGCCGCUAUUAAGGGUUCGUUUGUUCAACGAUUAAAGUCCUACGUGAUCUGAGUUCAGACCGGAGCAAUCCAGGUCAGUUUCUAUCUGUAAUGUCAUUUUUCCUAGUACGAAAGGACCGGAAAAAAGAGGCCCCUGUUAAAGACACGCCUCACCCUUAAUUAAUGAAAACAACUAAAUUAAGUAAAAGGAGGACUAAACAGCCGGCCAAGAUAAAGCCAU
rnacentral:rRNA from 1 species